GAACAAGAGUGCACACGCUGAAAUGUCUCGCCUUCUUUACUAAUCAUUGAUAUUAUGUUGAUAGUCCUAAAUAUAAAGCUUUAUUACAACUGUCACACAAACUUAACAUUAACCAAGAAAACUAAACAUUGACCAAUGAACCAUGAAAAUGAGGUCAAGGUCAGAUGAACCAUGCUAGGCAGGCAUGUACAGCUAACAAUUCUUCCAUACAACAAAUAUAGUUGACCUAUUGCUUAUAGUUUAAGAAAAACAGACCAAAACACAAAAACUUAACACUGAGCAAUGAACCUUGAAAAUGAGGUCAAGGUCAAAUAAAACCUGCGUGACUGACAUAAAGAUCAUAAAAUAUUUCCAUACACCAAAUAUAGUUGAACUAUUGCAUAUAGUAUUAGAAAAAAAGACCAAAACUCAAAAACUUAACUUUGACCACUGAACCAUGAAAAUGAGGUCAAGGUCAGAUGACACCUGUCAGCUAGACAUGUACACCUUACAAUCAUUCCAUACACCAAAUAUAGUAGACCUAUUGCAUACAGUAUAAGAAAAACAGACCAAAACACAAAAACUUAACUAUAACCACUGAACCAUGAAAAUGAGGUCAAGGUCAGAUGACACCUGCCAGUUGGACAUGUACACCUUACAGUCCUUCCAUACACCGAAUAUACUAGACCUAUUGCUUACAGUAUCUGAGAUAUGGACUUGACCACCAAAACUUAACCUUGUUCACUGAUCCAUGAAAUGAGGUCGAGGUCAAGUGAAAACUGUCUGACGGGCAUGAGGACCUUGCAAGGUACGCACAUACCAAAUAUAGUUAUCCUAUUACUUAUAAUAAGAGAGAAUUUAACAUUACAAAAUAUCUUAACUUUUUUUUCAAGUAGUCACUGAACCAUGAAAAUGAGGUCAAGGACAUUGGACAUGUGACUGACGGAAACUUCGUAACAUGAGGCAUCCAUAUACAAAGUAUGAAGCAUCUAGGUCUUCCAUCUUCUAAAAUAUAAAGCUUUUAAGAAGUUAGCUAACGCCGCCGCCGCCGUAGCCGCCGCCGCCGCCGCCGCCGGAUCGCUAUCCCUAUGUCGAGCUUUCUGCGACAAAAGUCGCAGGCUCGACAAAAAACAGACCAAAACACAAAAACUUAACACUGAGCAAUGAACCUUGAAAAUGAGGUCAAGGUCAAAUAAAACCUGCGUGACUGCCAAAUAGAUCAUAAAAUAUUUCCAUACACCAAAUAUAGUUGAACUAUUGCAUACAGUAUAAGAAAAACAGACCAAAACACAAAAACUUAACUAUAACCACUGAACCAUGAAAAUGAGGUCAAGGUCAGAUGACACCUGCCAGUUGGACAUGUACACCUUACAGUCCUUCCAUACACCGAAUAUACUAGACCUAUUGCUUAUAGUAUCUGAGAUAUGGACUUGACCACGAAAACUUAACCUUGUUCACUGAUCCAUGAAAUGAGGUCGAGGUCAAGUGAAAACUGUCUGACGGGCAUGAGGACCUUGCAAGGUACGCACAUACCAAAUAUAGUUAUCCUAUUACUUAUAAUAAGAGAGAAUUUAACAUUACAAAAAAUCUGAACUUUUUUUUCAAGUAGUCACUGAACCAUGAAAAUGAGGUCAAGGACAUUGGACAUGUGACUGACGGAAACUUCGUAACAUGAGGCAUCCAUAUACAAAGUAUGAAGCAUCCAGGUCUUCCAUCUUCUAAAAUAUAAAGCUUUUAAGAAGUUAGCUAACGCCGCCGCCGCCGCCGUAGCCGCCGCCGCCGCCGCCGCCGGAUCGCUAUCCCUAUGUCGAGCUUUCUGCGACAAAAGUCGCAGGCUCGACAAAAAUCAA